GGAGUUCUAAUGUCACUAUGGCAACAAGGGACAUGGAUUUGGGGCUCUGCAAAGAGGGGAGCCGAAUGUGAGACUGUUGCAUAAAGUGAGGUCUCUCAAAGGGAACAGAAGCAGAAAGGUUUCCCACUAGCACAGAUGAGUGUGGGCUCUCGAACUCAGCCAGAAAAGCUCCUAUGAAACCCAAGAGAGCCCCUACACAGGGAAGGAGAAGCAAGCACUUAAGGUAGGCUGAAGCCAGCAGUUAAUGCCUGCAAGUUGGUCACCAUGGAAACAACAACAGAAGAAAAUCUCCCUCUACUACCUCAUUCUUUAAUAUCUGAAAUUUUAAAUUUACAAAAUUAAGAUACAAAGAAUCAAUCAUGAAGUUGAAGUUUAUAUGAGUGCUUUCUGCUGCUGCGUGUUGCUCAAGGUACAGUAAAACCUUAACAUCGGGUUGAUGACUGUAACUUUAAAAA